UACGUAGGUGGCAAGCGUUAUCCGGAAUUAUUGGGCGUAAAGAGCGCGCAGGUGGUUGAUUAAGUCUGAUGUGAAAGCCCACGGCUUAACCGUGGAGGGUCAUUGGAAACUGGUCGACUUGAGUGCAGAAGAGGGAAGUGGAAUUCCAUGUGUAGCGGUGAAAUGCGUAGAGAUAUGGAGGAACACCAGUGGCGAAGGCGGCUUCCUGGUCUGUUACUGACGCUGAGGCGCGAAAGCGUGGGGAGCGAACAGGAUUAGAUA
rnacentral:rRNA from 1 species